GCCAGAUGAUGACGACCUGGGUGGAAACCUACCCUGUGGGCACCCAUGUCCGAGCCCCCUGGC
rfam:Homo sapiens chromosome 22, GRCh38 reference primary assembly.